UGUAAGAUUGUUGGGGGCAGAAAACGUCUCUACCAACUCUGUUAUACUCUCCCAAGCACUUAGUACAGUGGUCUGCACUCAGUAAACGCUCAGCAAAUACCCUUGAUUGAUUUGUGCCCCUGAGAAGCUGCUUGGUUGGAAAUCUAAGCUGUUUGACUAUUAUUUUAUGAACUCUUCUCUUUUGAGAAGUCAACAGGUUUUUAAAGUCUAAGGUGUGAUCGGGCACUACAUUUCCAUAUUUAUAUUAUCAGGAGCUCUGAUCACACUUCAUAGCUUUCAUUCUUCCUCUUGUUUGUGAAUGUCUUUUAGUCUGAGUGUUGAAAUGUAUUCUCACUCAAACUCUAUCCCUCCAUCGCCAAUAGCAGGAGCCUUUAUAGAAGCGCUGAAUGAUUUUCGCCAAUAAGAAAUGCCAUCAUGCAAUUCUUCAAAGUGACUCCAUUUUCAUUUAAGAAAUACUGUCAUCCAGCCUGAAUUGGACAAGGGAGCAAAACAAGGAGAAUGGGAACUCCCCCAAUGGCAAGCCACUGAACGGUGCUCGGCAAGAGACCAAGAGAGUAAGCGCUCAAAAAAUACUAUCGUCAACAUCACGGCAGUCGGACCUCUGGAGCGGGAGUUUCCAGCAGCUCAAGGGAUUGGUCGCAAUCUGGAGAUGCAGACACUGUCCCUGUGUAGCGACGUCCUUGGUGUUCCAAGAUGAUGCGUCUGGCAGUGUUGCCAUAGUUAGGCUGGAGAAAAAUAUGCGGAGGAAGGUGAUUUUUCAAACGAGCUUCCCAACCCUGUCAUCAUCAAACAGCUGUUCGGCGUCCCUCAGCUCCAGCGCCGGGAAGCGACAUUACGGGAUCAUUUUUGCCUCCUUACUCCUCCCCUCGGGCCCCCCAGUUUUGAGUGGCCUCCGUGCCAAAUUCAAACUUGGAACUUGAAAGUUGACAGUUGCAGUAAUGAGGGGUUUUUUCAUUUUUUGUUUUGUUUUGAGCAAUAGCCACUCAAAUGAGGGAAGGAGGAUGGCAGAACAUGGAGGCACAUAACUAGACGGUGAAUCGUGUGGGAAAGGCACUACGUCCAACCUGAUUAUCCUUUAUCCCAGCCCUCAGUGUACUCCUUGGUGCUUAAUGAAUGCUCCAAUUAUUAGAAUCUUUAUGAAUUUUGUUUAAGGUGUUAAUCAUCGUUUAAGCCUAUGAUAAAAUAAUCCCCAAAUAAAAGGGAUGUUUCCAAGCGUAUAUUGUUGCCGUUUGGAAGGGUACAGCUAAUUCUCAUACCAUGGAAGAGUUGGCUCCUGAUGAUGAGAGUGAUAAUAAUGUUAAUUGAGGUGUUUAAGUGCUUUCUAUAUGUCAAGCACUGUACUAAACACUUGGGGUAGAGACAAGAUGAUCAGAUCCCACGUGGGGCUCACAACUUGAGUAGAAGGGAGAUCAGGGGUAGAAUCCACCUUUUGCAGAAGAGGGAACUGAGACACAGAGAAGUUAGGUGACUUGCUCAGUGUCACACAGCAGACAAGUAGCAGAGCUGAGUUUAGAACCCAGGACCUCUGACUCCCAGGCCCGUGCUUUUCCACUAGGCCAUGCUGCUUCUCCCAACAGUGCUCGGCACAUAGUAAGCGCUUAACAAAUACCAAC
rnacentral:lncRNA from 1 species